GGUUAAGCGACUAAGCGUACACGGUGGAUGCCCUGGCAGUCAGAGGCGAUGAAGGACGUGCUAAUCUGCGAAAAGCGUCGGUAAGGUGAUAUGAACCGUUAUAACCGGCGAUGUCCGAAUGGGGAAACCCAGUGCAAUUCGUUGCACUAUCGUUAACUGAAUACAUAGGUUAACGAGGCGAACCGGGGGAACUGAAACAUCUAAGUACCCCGAGGAAAAGAAAUCAACCGAGAUUCCCCCAGUAGCGGCGAGCGAACGGGGAGCAGCCCAGAGUCUGAAUCAGCUUGUGUGUUAGUGGAACGGUCUGGAAAGUCCGACGGUACAGGGUGAUAGUCCCGUACACCAAAAUGCACAGGCUGUGAACUCGAAGAGUAGGGCGGGACACGUGGUAUCCUGUCUGAAUAUGGGGGGACCAUCCUCCAAGGCUAAAUACUCCUGACUGACCGAUAGUGAACCAGUACCGUGAGGGAAAGGCGAAAAGAACCCCGGCGAGGGGAGUGAAAAAGAACCUGAAACCGUGUACGUACAAGCAGUGGGAGCACCUUCGGGUGUGACUGCGUACCUUUUGUAUAAUGGGUCAGCGACUUAUAUUCUGUAGCAAGGUUAACCGUAUAGGGGAGCCGCAGGGAAACCGAGUCUUAACUGGGCGUUAAGUUGCAGGGUAUAGACCCGAAACCCGGUGAUCUAGCCAUGGGCAGGUUGAAGGUUGGGUAACACUAACUGGAGGACCGAACCGACUAAUGUUGAAAAAUUAGCGGAUGACUUGUGGCUGGGGGUGAAAGGCCAAUCAAACCGGGAGAUAGCUGGUUCUCCCCGAAAGCUAUUUAGGUAGCGCCUCGUGAACUCAUCUUCGGGGGUAGAGCACUGUUUCGGCUAGGGGGUCAUCCCGACUUACCAACCCGAUGCAAACUACGAAUACCGAAGAAUGUUAUCACGGGAGACACACGGCGGGUGCUAACGUCCGUCGUGAAGAGGGAAACAACCCAGACCGCCAGCUAAGGUCCCAAAGUCAUGGUUAAGUGGGAAACGAUGUGGGAAGGCACAGACAGCCAGGAUGUUGGCUUAGAAGCAGCCAUCAUUUAAAGAAAGCGUAAUAGCUCACUGGUCGAGUCGGCCUGCGCGGAAGAUGUAACGGGGCUAAACCAUGCACCGAAGCUGCGGCAGCGACACUAUGUGUUGUUGGGUAGGGGAGCGUUCUGUAAGCCUGCGAAGGUGUGCUGUGAGGCAUGCUGGAGGUAUCAGAAGUGCGAAUGCUGACAUAAGUAACGAUAAAGCGGGUGAAAAGCCCGCUCGCCGGAAGACCAAGGGUUCCUGUCCAACGUUAAUCGGGGCAGGGUGAGUCGACCCCUAAGGCGAGGCCGAAAGGCGUAGUCGAUGGGAAACAGGUUAAUAUUCCUGUACUUGGUGUUACUGCGAAGGGGGGACGGAGAAGGCUAUGUUAGCCGGGCGACGGUUGUCCCGGUUUAAGCAUGUAGGCUGUUAUCCAGGCAAAUCCGGAUAAUCAAGGCUGAGGUGUGAUGACGAGGCACUACGGUGCUGAAGUAACAAAUGCCCUGCUUCCAGGAAAAGCCUCUAAGCAUCAGGUAACAUCAAAUCGUACCCCAAACCGACACAGGUGGUCAGGUAGAGAAUACCAAGGCGCUUGAGAGAACUCGGGUGAAGGAACUAGGCAAAAUGGUGCCGUAACUUCGGGAGAAGGCACGCUGGUGUGUAGGUGAAGUCCCUGCGGAUGGAGCUGAGACCAGUCGAAGAUACCAGCUGGCUGCAACUGUUUAUUAAAAACACAGCACUGUGCAAACACGAAAGUGGACGUAUACGGUGUGACGCCUGCCCGGUGCCGGAAGGUUAAUUGAUGGGGUUAUCCGUAAGGAGAAGCUCUUGAUCGAAGCCCCGGUAAACGGCGGCCGUAACUAUAACGGUCCUAAGGUAGCGAAAUUCCUUGUCGGGUAAGUUCCGACCUGCACGAAUGGCGUAAUGAUGGCCAGGCUGUCUCCACCCGAGACUCAGUGAAAUUGAACUCGCUGUGAAGAUGCAGUGUACCCGCGGCAAGACGGAAAGACCCCGUGAACCUUUACUAUAGCUUGACACUGAACAUUGAGCCUUGAUGUGUAGGAUAGGUGGGAGGCUUUGAAGCGUGGACGCCAGUCUGCGUGGAGCCAACCUUGAAAUACCACCCUUUAAUGUUUGAUGUUCUAACGUUGGCCCCUGACCGGGGUUGCGGACAGUGUCUGGUGGGUAGUUUGACUGGGGCGGUCUCCUCCCAAAGCGUAACGGAGGAGCACGAAGGUUAGCUAAUCCUGGUCGGACAUCAGGAGGUUAGUGCAAUGGCAUAAGCUAGCUUGACUGCGAGCGUGACGGCGCGAGCAGGUGCGAAAGCAGGUCAUAGUGAUCCGGUGGUUCUGAAUGGAAGGGCCAUCGCUCAACGGAUAAAAGGUACUCCGGGGAUAACAGGCUGAUACCGCCCAAGAGUUCAUAUCGACGGCGGUGUUUGGCACCUCGAUGUCGGCUCAUCACAUCCUGGGGCUGAAGUAGGUCCCAAGGGUAUGGCUGUUCGCCAUUUAAAGUGGUACGCGAGCUGGGUUUAGAACGUCGUGAGACAGUUCGGUCCCUAUCUGCCGUGGGCGCUGGAGAAUUGAGGGGGGCUGCUCCUAGUACGAGAGGACCGGAGUGGACGCAUCACUGGUGUUCGGGUUGUCAUGCCAAUGGCACUGCCCGGUAGCUAAAUGCGGAAGAGAUAAGUGCUGAAAGCAUCUAAGCACGAAACUUGCCCCGAGAUGAGUUCUCCCUGAGACUUUAAGUCUCCUGAAGGAACGUUAAAGACGAUGACGUUGAUAGGCCGGGUGUGUAAGCGCAGCGAUGCGUUGAGCUAACCGGUACUAAUGAACCGUGAGGCUUAACCUU
rnacentral:rRNA from 1 species